GCCGCGAUAGCUCAGUGGUAGAGCGCAUCCCUGAAGAGGAUGGCGUCGUCAGUUCGAUUCUGACUCGCGGCA
rnacentral:tRNA from 1 species